GGUAGAGCGGAGGAGGGUUGAACACCCUCGUGCCACCAGUUCGAGCCUGGUUCCUGGC
rnacentral:tRNA from 1 species